rnacentral:lncRNA from 1 species
UCGUCUAUUAUUAAUAUUAUUCAAACUGAAAGUAUAAACAAAAACCCAACAUAAAGCAAACUGAUAAUACAAUAAGGCCUAAAACAAACAGGCCGAGGCAAAAGAAAGCCCAAAGUAAGUCGGUGAACAAAUCAAGAAGGCUCUACCACGUGUUGAACUCAGACCCUAAAGAGAACACAUGUUUGCCAAUACGUCACCCAACUUCACCGCGUUGAAAGUCGUCGCCGGAAAGCUUGAUCGAACUUCCACCGGAACACACCGGAGACAGGAAGCGAGGAUUGGAGCCACCACGAUAACUCGAUCUAAAUGAAAGAGCCCAAAGAGAGAAAGACCAUCGCUUCAUAAGAUUGGAGAGAAAACCAGAUUCAAAUGAAUCCAAGACGAUCUCAACACCGAGAAAGCUUCAAUUCCAGAACAUGCAACCACAGUCAUCUUUAUAAAUCCAAAUAAGCUUGAAGAUGACUAAACCAUCUCAGAUGGAAAGGAAGAAGCUUUUCGAUAUAAAGAACAAAACUCAAUUAAAUCUGAACGAUGAUCGAGAAGGAACAAAAAAAUAAAAAUUACAAACGAAACUAGACAAAACUGGUAAAAAACUAAGAAGAAUCAUCAGAAUCCCAAUGAUCCGUAAGAAGCCAGCAGAGACAGCGCUGAAGGAGCCGCCAUUCACGGGAGAUAAAGCCCGACACACGGGAAGCAAAGGCCAGCCAAGACGGUGCUGUGAGAGCCACCGCUUGCCGGAGUCAAGCCCGAUACACGGGCAACGAGAUCACCGGAAAGGAUCCGGCAUCGAACGAAACUUGACUCCCUCUCUCUGAAAGAUUUGAGAGAGAUAAGAGAGAGAGAGUACAGGUUUCAGGUAGAAAUGUGUAAACUAUCAACCAGUAUUCAGUGAUAUCUAAGGAGAAGAUGAUAAAGAUUAUAAAAAAUGUAAAAACAAUAAAAUACAUGUCUUAAAAUAUACAUAUUUGGUUACCCUCACAUUAUCGGCUUUAUUCACCUGCAAAAUAAAUAUGGUCAUUUCCUCUGUUCUAGUAACAUACAAAUAAUUACACCAAAACUAUCUUUAU